GACGAACGCUGGCGGCGUGCUUAACACAUGCAAGUCGAACGGAAAGGCCCUGCUUUUGUGGGGUGCUCGAGUGGCGAACGGGUGAGUAACACGUGAGUAACCUGCCCUUGACUUUGGGAUAACUUCAGGAAACUGGGGCUAAUACCGGAUAGGAGCUCCUGCUGCAUGGUGGGGGUUGGAAAGUUUCGGCGGUUGGGGAUGGACUCGCGGCUUAUCAGCUUGUUGGUGGGGUAGUGGCUUACCAAGGCUUUGACGGGUAGCCGGCCUGAGAGGGUGACCGGCCACAUUGGGACUGAGAUACGGCCCAGACUCCUACGGGAGGCAGCAGUGGGGAAUAUUGCACAAUGGGCGGAAGCCUGAUGCAGCAACUCCGCGUGCGGGAUGACGGCCGUCGGGUUGUAAACCGCUUUCGCCUGUGACGAAGCGUGAGUGACGGUAAUGGGUAAAGAAGCACCGGCUAACUACGUG
rnacentral:rRNA from 1 species